rnacentral:rRNA from 1 species
AUGGCGCGCUGCUCGCCGCCGCUGCUGCGCCGCUUCUUCUGCUGCGCCGCCAAAUCUGCCUCGGCCACAUCCGCCGCCGCCAGCACCAAGAAGAAGAACAUCGUCUUCUUGGGAUCUCCCCAGGUGGCUGCCUCGGUCCUGGACACGUUGUUGGCCGCGUCCAGCUCCCCCGAUUCCGCAUUCCAGGUCGCUGCCGUCGUGACGCAGCCGCCGGCCGCCAAGAACAGGGGGAGGAAGCUGUUGCCGUCGGCCGUCGCGCAGCUCGCGCUCGAGCGUGGGUUCCCUGGCGACCUCAUCUUCACCCCCGAGCGCGCUGGGGAGGAGUCCUUUCUGUCUGACUUGAAGGGGGUGAGACCAGAACUUUGCGUCACUGCUGCUUACGGGAACAUUUUGCCACAGAGGUUUCUUGAUAUUCCACCGUGCGGUACAAUUAAUAUACACCCAAGUUUGUUGCCUCUAUAUCGCGGUGCAGCUCCUGUGCAGAGGGCAUUGCAGGAUGGUGUUGCAGAAACAGGUGUUUCCCUUGCAUAUACUGUCCGUGCCUUGGAUGCAGGUCCAGUGAUUGCUUGCGAAAGGUUUUCUGUCGAUGAAUUCAUCAAGGCACCAGAGCUGCUUGCUAUACUAUUCAAUAUAGGGUCCAAGCUACUGCUGGAUGAACUACCAUCCGUUCUUGAUGGUUCAGCUAAGCAAAAGGCAAAGCCACAAGAUGACUCCAAAGCUACGCUGGCGCCCAAGAUGAAUUCAGACGAGUCCUGGCUGACAUUUGACGAAGAAGCUAAAGUUCUUCAUAACAAGGUGCGAGCAUUUGCAGGAUGGCCAGGAACCCGCGCAAAAUUGCAACUUCUGAACCAAAAUGGCGAACCCGAUGUUCUAGACAUCAAGGUUAUCAGUACAAAUGUUUCCACGUCAUGUGACAAAGUUGGAGACGAAAACGAAAUACUAUUCUCAGGGAACUCGCUGCUCGUUCCUUGCAGUGGGUCAACUUGGCUUGAGGUCUUGGAGCUUCAGCUACCUGGAAAGAAGGUAACCACGGCUCGGGACUUCUGGAAUGGUUUGCGUGGUCAGAAGCUGUUAAAAUCAACAUAG